rnacentral:rRNA from 1 species
CAAUGUUUAAAAGCACUUUGAAAGAGGGUUAAACAGCACGUGAAAUUGUUAAAAGGGAAGCGCUUGUGACCAGACUUGCGUCCGGUGAAUCACCCAGCUCUCGCGGCUGGGGCACUUCGCCGGCUCAGGCCAGCAUCAGCUCGCUGUCGGGGACAAAAGCUUCAGGAACGUAGCUCUCUUCGGGGAGUGUUAUAGCCUGUUGCAUAAUACCCUUCGGCGGGCUGAGGUACGCGCUCCGCAAGGAUGCUGGCAUAAUGGUCAUCAGCGACCCGUCUUGAAACACGGACCAAGACGGGUCGCGAGUAAUUAUGCCACAUCCUUGCGGAGCGCGUACCUCCCCCCCGAAGGUUUUAGCCACAGGCUAUAACCUCCCCAAAAGAGCCACUUCCUGGGGGAUGAGUGGCCCCCACCACGACGUGAUGCUGGGCCGCUUUCCGCUAACU